CCUACGGGUGGCAGCAGUGAGGAAUCUUCGUCAAUGGGCGCGAGCCUGAACCAGCCAAGUAGCGUGAAGGAUGACUGCCCUACGGGUUGUAAACUUCUUUUAUAAAGGAAUAAAGUGAGGCACGUGUGCCUUUUUGUAUGUACUUUAUGAAUAAGGAUCGGCUAACUCUGUGCCAGCAGCAGCGGUAAUACGGAGGAUCCGAGCGUUAUCCGGGUUUAUUGGGUUUAAAGGAAGGGUAGAGGGGUUGUUAAGUCAGUUGGGAAAGUUUGCGGCUCAACCGUAAAAUUGCAAUUGAUACUGGCAGCCUUGAGUACAGGUGGGGUAGGCGGAAUUCGUGGUGUAGCGGUGAAAUGCGUAGAUAUCACGAAGAACUCCGAUUGCGAAGGCAGCCUACUAAACUGCCACUGACGUUGAUGCUCGAAAGUGUGGGUAUCAAACAGGAUUAGAUACCCCAGUAGUC
rnacentral:rRNA from 1 species